CUCACUGGCCUCCAAGUUUUCUAGGAUGAUGCAAUGUCCAGCCAUCAACACAUUUGUGAAGGAAUUUUUACUCCCCAAAAGAGCGCCCCCCCCAUGGCAGGAGAAAAAAGUCAAUUUUUUCUUGUCCCCUAAGGUGAAAAUACACAUUGUUGAGUGUCACGCCUAUACGCUUUGUCAAAAUGACACAAAAAUUGACACACACAUGUAACUCAAUAAGAUCUACGAAAAAGUCAAUGCGAGCGUAUCUGUUCAAUGUACGGUUAAAGGGUUAUUCCGCAUUUUUUGCCGAUCCGCACACAUUGGAAUGUGGCUAACUCCUCCUAAGGCUUUCGUUCCACCGGCACCACAUUUGCUCAGGACAAUCUACACCCCAUGGCCAUUAAAAGUUAUUCAAAUCAUGACGCUGCACCCCACGGUUUACGUUCUAGGGGGCGCCAAAGAUAACCCAAAAUCCACAUUCUUAAAAGUCUUAUAACUUUUUAUUUUUGUCCUCACUGCCCUCCAAGUUUUCUAGGAUGAUGCAAUGUCCAGCCAUCAACACAUUUGUGAAGGAAUUUUUACUCCCCAAAAGAGCGCCCCCCCAUGGCAGGAGAAAAAAGUCAAUUUUUUCUUGUCCCCUUACAUGAAAAUACACAUUGUUGAGUGUCACGCCUGAACGCUUUGUCAUAUUGACACAAAAAUUGACAAUCAUGUGUAUCUCAAUUAGAUCUACGAAAAAGUCAAAAAGCGCGUAUCUGUAUAAUGUACGGUUAAAGGGCUAUUUCGCAUUUUUUGCCGAUUCGCACACAUUGGAAUGUGGCUAUCUCCUCAUAAGGCUUUCGUCCCACCGAUACCAAAUUUGCUCAGGGCAAUCUACACCCCAUGCCCAUUCAAAGUUGUAAAAAUCAUGACGCUGCACCCCACGGUUUACGUUCUAGGGGACGCCAAAGAUGACCCAAAAAUCCACAUUCUUAAAAGUCAUUUUGGCCACUGCAGGAGUACAGAGUACUGCAGUUCUAGGGGGCGCCAAAGAUGACCCAAAAAUCCACAUUCUUAAAAGUCUUUUUGGCCACUGCAGGAGUACAGAGUACUGCAGGAUACACACACAUAUACACACACACACACACACACACACACACACACACACACACACACACACACACACACACUCAGAGUCUGUUUUUUAGCACCUGCAAAAACAUGCUGUUUACAUAUUUGACAAGAAUGCAGAGGCUUCCUUUUGCCCCUGAAAAAAAUCAGAUUUCAAACACAACUUGACUGUUCAUUUCUCCAAAAGACAACCAUGAAGCUCCAUCCAAACCUGAAGCAGAUAGUUGGUGCAUGUGUUCAGUAACCUGAGGGGAGUGAGGUGACUAUUUCUGAGGAGAACAUGAGCAGUGAAGAUUCACCUUGGAGCUAGAACAGGGACGUGCACAUGAUUAUACAGGGGCAGGGGCUCAAGUUUUUUCCAGUCAUUUAUACAAUAUGGAAAUUAAUGUGAAAUUAAACCACAAAUAUGUGUGAUGAACUGUUUUUAAAACUUAAACUUCAAAUAAAAAUUGUAAACUUCAAAACAUAUGCAAAUUUUUAACAAAGAACAUAGUAAUUUACCUCUAUUUACAUCAAAAUGCAGGCAAUGGCCCAGGCGUUCUUUGUAAAAUUAUUUACAAAACACUGUAUAGUCUCACAAAUGUCACUUUUUAUUUAUGCCACUACAAAAAAACAUGAUGUAAAUGAUGCAUGAUGUAAAACAUGAUGUAAAAAACUUGUGUAGAUCCUCCUCUAUGUCAGUACAUGUGUAAUUUUUCCAUAAUUCUUUGUUUUUUGCAGCAUUUUUGUUAGUGUAACUGCAGAUUGUGCUGACAGUGUCUAUGGCACAAAAAAAAAAAAAAUUAAAAUGCCUCAACAUGAACCCCUGGUGGUCUCUGAGGGUGAAACCUGCUAACUGCUGCAGCUCUGUCAGCUUCAGUCUCCCAUGCAGAGCUCUGAGCGCAUGUGUGGCUCUGCACCCUAAGCAGCGUUGCUAACUCCUCAGUAAGGAAAGCCUGCUUCAUGUCAGAGUCUCUAAACUCCAGAAGAAGUCGAUAAAAGUCCCUUUCUUUCUAAAAAAAAGUCGUUAGGGGGUCUGAAAAGUCAUUGAAUCUAACAACAAAGUCGCUAGGUUUGCAACUACGUGUCCCAGACUGCAUCCCUGCUGAGAGUCCCUCCCUCGCUUCUCAUGUUGCAGGAAAAACGUAAGCGCCCGCCCCUUGUCAAUCAGUCACCAUAUAAUUUUGGAUUGGUUGUUGUGGUGAAGUUUUCCACCAAUAGGAGAGAUGUUGUGGUGUGUUUUUUUUUUCUUUUGGCAAGCCUUUUCCGCCUGUAAGACCUGUCGCUAAUGUCUGCAUGCUAUGUUUUCCUGUCUCAUACAGCGCGAUCGAGCGCCGAACGUGAUCAAAAUAAGCAGAAAAAAAGUAUCGCGGACAUAAUUUAUCAUAACUCUGGUUUUAUUUGGCCUAUCAACACAAUUUAAAAACUGGUAUAUAGGUUGAGGUCCUCACUUUUGAGAUAAGUUGAAACGGAGAGUCAACGAGGCUCCGUCUUGCAGCUACAUCCGGUUAAAUAUGUCAUGUGACUUGAACGCACACACAGACACACACACACGCACACACACACACACACACACACUCAGAGUCUGGUUUUUAGCACCUGCAAAAACAUGCUAUUUACAUAUUUGACAAGAAUGCAGAGGCUCCUUUUGCCCCUGAAAAAAAUCAAAUUUCAAACACAACUUGACUGCUCAUUUCUCCAAAAGACAACCAUGAAGCUCCAUCCAAACCUGAAGCAGGCAGUUGGUGCAUGUGUACAGUAACCUGAGGGGAGUGAGGUGAGUGCUUCUGAGGAGAACAUGAGCAGUGAAGAUUCACCUUGGAGCUAGAACAGAGACAUGCACAUGAUUAUACAGGGGCAGGGGCUCAAGUUUUUUCCAGUCGUUUAUACAAUAUGGAAAUUAAUGUGAAAUUAAAACACAAAGUAUUAAUAGAAAGGUAAUGACUGUCCUGUGUAGGUGACAGUGAUAUCCAAUAGGCUAGGCACUCACGAGGCUGGCUGUGGCAAGUGUAAGUGAAAGCAACACGCACUGGCAGGAAGAACAGCAAACGCCGAUGAAGGAAAAGGGUCUUCGCAGUGAUGGGCGUUACCAGAGAGGGCGAUGGCCAGAGGACACAAAUGGGACGGGGAGGCAGCACGUUGGGGGGGGGACGCGACACGGCUCGGGCCCGCCAGUGCCCCAACGGGGUCCUAGUUCUUUCUUUCUUUCUUCUUUUUCCUCCCCUUUGAACUGGAAAAUGGCCCACUUCCCACUGGCGAAAACUCAUGAAAUUUGGCAGGACGACCGGGCCUGGUGAAAAAUUCGAUAUUCUGAAGUCGCCCAAACAAUAAAAUGCAAAAUGGCUCCAUAGCGCCCCCUAAGGUGGAAAUUCACACUAUUGACUGUCACGCCUGUACGCUUUGUCAUAUUGACACAAAAAUUGACACACAUAUGUAUCUCAAUAAGAUCUACAAAAAAGUCAGUGCGGCCGUAUCUGUCAAAUGUACGGUUAAAGGGUUAUUUCGCAUUUUUUGCCGAUCCGCACACAUUGGAAUUUCGCUAACUCCUCCGAAGGCUUUCGUUCCACCGGCACCACAUUUGCUCAGGCCAAUCUACACCCCGUGGCCAUUAAAAGUUAUCAAAAUCAUGACGCUGCACCCCAAGGUUUAGGUUCUAGGGGGCGCCAAAUAUAACACUAAAAUCCACAUAUUUAAAAGUCUUAUAACUUUUUAUUUUUGUCCUCACUGGCCUCCAAGUUUUCUAGGAUGAUGCAAUGUCCAGCCAUCAACACAUUUGUGAAGGAAUUUUUACUCCCCAAAAGAGCGCCCCCCCAUGGCAGGAGAAAAAAGUCCAUUUUUUCUUGUCCCCUAAGGUGAAAAUACACAUUGUUGAGUGUCACGCCUAUACGCUUUGUCAAAAUGACACAAAAAUUGACACACACAUGUAACUCAAUAAGAUCUACGAAAAAGUCAAUUCGCGCGUAUCUGUCAAAUGUACGGUUAAAGGGUUAUUCCGCAUUUUUUGCCGAUCCGCACACAUUGGAAUGUGGCUAACUCCUCCUAAGGCUUUCGUUCCACCGGCACCACAUUUGCUCAGGACAAUCUACACCCCAUGGCCAUUAAAAGUUAUUCAAAUCAUGAUGCUGCACCCCACGGUUUAGGUUCUAGGGGGCGCCAAAGAUAACCCUAACAUCCACAUAUUUAAAAGUCUUAUAACUUUUUAUUUUUGUCCUCACUGGCCUCCAAGUUUUCUAGGAUGAUGCAAUGUCCAGCCAUCAACACAUUUGUGAAGGAAUUUUUACUCCCCAAAAGAGCGCCCCCCCAUGGCAGGAGAAAAAAGUCCAUUUUUUCUUGUCCCCUAAGGUGAAAAUACAUAUUGUUGAGAUUCACGCCUAUACGCUUUGUCAUAUUGACACAAAAUUUGACAAUCACGUGCCUUGCCUGGUAUCAUUUUUUUCAGCACAACCUCACCUGUACGAAUUUACAGUUAUUUUAUCAUGUUGACAUACUGAAUUUACACAAUGGACCCAAAUUCACACACAAAACAUAAAAUCCGAGUGGAAAAAAGUAACAUUUUUACUGUGAAAACCACAAAUAUGUGUGAUGAACUGUUUUUAAAACUUAAACUUCAAAUAAAAAUUGUAAACUUCAAAACAUAUGCAAAUUUUUAACAAAGAACAUAGUGAUUUACCUCUAUUUUCAUCAAAAUGCAGGCAAUGGCCCAGGCGUUCUUUGUAAUAUUAUUUACAAAACACUGUAUAGUCUCACAAAUGUCACUUUUUAUUUAUGCCACUACAAAAAAACAUGAUGUAAAUGAUGCAUGAUGUAAAACAUGAUGUAAAAAACUUGUGUAGAUCCUCCUCUAUGUCAGUCCAUGUGUAAUUUUUCCAUAAUUCUUUGUUUUUUGCAGCAUUUUUGUUAGUGUAACUGCAGAUUGUGCUGACAGUGUCUAUGGCACAAAAAAAAAUUUUUAAAAUGCCUCAACAUGAACCCCUGGUGGUCUCUGAGGGUGAAACCUGCUAACUGCUGCAGCUCUGUCAGCUUCAGUCUCCCAUGCAGAGCUCUGAGCGCAUGUGUGGCUCUGCACCCUUAGCAGCGUUGCUAACUCCUCAGUAAGGAAAGCCUGCUUCAUGUCAGAGUCUCUAAACUCCAGAAGAAGUCGAUAAAAGUCCCUUUCUUUCUAAAAAAAAGUCGUUAGGGGGUCUGAAAAGUCAUUGAAUCUAACAACAAAGUCGCUAGGUUUGCAACUACGUGUCCCAGACUGCAUCCCUGCUGAGAGUCCCUCCCUCCCUUCUCAUGUUGCAGGAAGAACGUAAGCGCCCGCCCCUUGUCAAUCAGUCACCAUAUAAUUUUGGAUUGGUUGUUGUGGUGAAGUUUUCCACCAAUAGGAGAGAUGUUGUGGUGUGUUUUUUUUUUCUUUUGGCAAGCCUUUUCCGCCUGUAAGACCUGUCGCUAAUGUCUGCAUGCUAUGUUUUCCUGUCUCAUACAGCGCGAUCGAGCGCCGAACGUGAUCAAAAUAAGCAGAAAAAAAGUAUCGCGGACAUAAUUUAUCAUAACUCUGGUUUUAUUUGGCCUAUCAACACAAUUUAAAAACUGGUAUAUAGGUUGAGGUCCUCACUUUUGAGAUAAGUUGAAACGGAGAGUCAACGAGGCUCCGUCUUGCAGCUACAUCCGAUUAAAUAUGUCAUGUGACUUGAACGCACACACAGACACACACACACGCACACACAGACACACACACACACACACACACACACUCAGAGUCUGGUUUUUAGCACCUGCAAAAACAUGCUAUUUACAUAUUUGACAAGAAUGCAGAGGCUCCUUUUGCCCCUGAAAAAAAUCAAAUUUCAAACACAACUUGACUGGUCAUUUCUCCAAAAGACAACCAUGAAGCUCCAUCCAAACCUGAAGCAGGCAGUUGGUGCAUGUGUACAGUAACCUGAGGGGAGUGAGGUGAGUGCUUCUGAGGAGAACAUGAGCAGUGAAGAUUCACCUUGGAGCUAGAACAGAGACAUGCACAUGAUUAUACAGGGGCAGGGGCUCAAGUUUUUUCCAGUCGUUUAUACAAUAUGGAAAUUAAUGUGAAAUUAAAACACAAAGUAUUAAUAGAAAGGUAAUGACUGUCCUGUGUAGGUGACAGUGAUAUCCAAUAGGCUAGGCACUCACGAGGCUGGCUGUGGCAAGUGUAAGUGAAAGCAACACGCACUGGCAGGAAGAACAGCAAACGCCGAUGAAGGAAAAGGGUCUUUGCAGUGAUGGGCGUUACCAGAGAGGGCAAUGGCCAGAGGACACAAAUGGGACGGGGAGGCAGCACGUUGGGGGGGGGGGGGGGGGGACGCGACACGGCUCGGGCCCGCCAGUGCCCCAACGGGGUCCUAGUUCUUUCUUUCUUUCUUUCUUAGGGCCCGAGCGUAGCUGCUAAGCAGCUGCGAGAGCCCUCUUGUUCCUGCAUGUUUCCUUCUUUUGUUAUUAUUAGGGCCCGAGCGUAGCUGCUAAGCAGCUGCGAGAGCCCUAUUAUUCCCCAAGUGGUUUUUCUUUGUUUCUUUUUUCUUUUUCCUCCCCUUUGAACUGGAAAAUGGCCCACUUCCCACAGGCGAAAACUCAUGAAAUUUGGCAGGACGACCGGGCCUGGUGAAAAAUUUGAUAUUCUGAAGUCGCCCAAACAAUACAAUGCAAAAUGGCUCCAUAGCGCCCCCUAGGGUGAAAAAUUCACCUGACGCCUGUACGCUUUGUCAAAAUGACACAAAAAUUGACACACACAUGUAUCUCAAUAAGAUCUACAAAAAAGUCAGUGCGGGCGUAUCUGUCAAAUGUACGGUUAAAGGGUUAUUGCGCAUUUUUUGCCGAUCCGCACACAUUGGAAUUUCGCUAACUCCUCCGAAGGCUUUCGUUCCACCGGCACCACAUUUGCUCAGGCCAAUCUACACCCCAUGGCCAUUAAAAGUUAUUCAAAUCAUGACGCUGCACCCCACGGUUUAGGUUCUAGGGGGCGCCAAAGAUAACCCUAAAAUCCACAUAUUUCAAAGUCUUAUAACUUUUUAUUUUUGCCCUCACUGGCCUCCAAGUUUUCUAGGAUGAUGCAAUGUCCAGCCAUCAACACAUUUGUGAAGGAAUUUUUACUCCCCAAAAGAGCGCCCCCCCAUGGCAGGAGAAAAAAGUCCAUUUUUUCUUGUCCCAUAAGGUGAAAAUUCACACUAUUGACUGUCACGCCUGUACGCUUUGUCAAAAUUACACAAAAAUUGACACACACAUGUAUCUCAAUAAGAUCUACAAAAAAGUCAAUGCGCGCGUAUCUGUCAAAUGUACGGUUAAAGGGUUAUUCCGCAUUUUUUGCCGAUCCGCACACAUUGGAAUUUCGCUAACUCCUCCUAAGGCUUUCGUUCCACUAGCACCACAUUUGCUCAGGCCAAUCUACACCCCAUGGCCAUUAAAAGUUAUUCAAAUCAUGACGCUGCACCCCACGGUUUAGGUUCUAGGGGGCGCCAAAGAUAACCCUAAAAUCCACAUAUUUAUAAAGUCUUAUAACUUUUUAUUUUUGUCCUCACUGGCCUCCAAGUUUUCUAGGAUGAUGCAAUGUCCAGCCAUCAACACAUUUGUGAAGGAAUUUUUACUCCCCAAAAGAGCGCCCCCCCAUGGCAGGAGAAAAAAGUCCAUUUUUUCUUGUCCCCUAAGGUGAAAAUACACAUUGUUGACUGUCAUAUUUGUCAACAAUACCGUAACGAGGAACAACUUGCCGUUUGGAUAUAUCCUAGCUGUGUUUGUGCCCUCACUCAUGGUCCAGACUUUUUUCAAAUAGGACAUGUAGUUUGUCUGCAGCAAGUGUUUUGGUAGAAACUGCGCCUCCCAUUCAUUUUAAUGGGAAAUGACCACAGACAAGUGCGCAUACCAUCUUUGGACCUUGAGUGUGACGCGAUCGGGAGGGGGAGGCGGUCGCGCUGGGGGCGGCGCAACGCGGCUCGGGCCCGACAGUGCCCCACCGGGGCCCUAGUUUGUUAUUAUUAUUUUUCCUCCCCUUUGAACUGGAAAAUGGCCCACUUCCCACUGGCGAAAACUCAUGAAAUUUGGCAGGACGACCGGGCCUGGUGAAAAAUUUGAUAUUCCGAAGUCGCCCAAACAAGAAAAUGCAAAAUGGCUCCAUAGCGCCCCCUAAGGUGAAAAUUCACACUAUUCACUGUCACGCCUGUACGCUUUGUCAAAAUGACACAAAAAUUGACACACACAUGUAUCUCAAUAAGAUCUACAAAAAAGUCAGUGCGGGCGUAUCUGUCAAAUGUACGGUUAAAGGGUUAUUUCGCAUUUUUUGCCGAUCCGCACACAUUGGAAUUUCGCUAACUCCUCCGAAGGCUUUCGUUCCACCGGCACCACAUUUGCUCAGGCCAAUCUACACCCCAUGGCCAUUAAAAGUUAUUCAAAUCAUGACGCUGCACCCCACGGUUUAGAUUCUAGGGGGCGCCAAAGACAACCCUAAGAUCCACAUAUUUAAAAGUCUUAUAACUUUUUAUUUUUGCCCUCACUGGCCUCCAAGUUUUCUAGGAUGAUGCAAUGUCCAGCCAUCAACACAUUUGUGAAGGAAUUUUUACUCCCCAAAAGAGCGCCCCCCCAUGGCAGGAGAAAAAAGUCCAUUUUUUCUUGUCCCCUAAGGUGAAAAUACACAUUGUUGAGUGUAACACCUGUACGCUUUGGCAAAAUGACACAAAAAUUGACACACACAUGUAUCUCAAUAAGAUCUACGAAAAAGUCAAUGCGCGCGUAUCUGUCAAAUGUACGGUUAAAGGGUUAUUCCGCAUUUUUUGCCGAUCCGCACACAUUGGAAUUUCGCUAACUCCUCCGAAGGCUUUCGUUCCACCGGCACCACAUUUGCUCAGGCCAAUCUACACCCCAUGGCCAUUAAAAGUUAUUCAAAUCAUGACGCUGCACCCCACGGUUUAGGUUCUAGGGGGAGCCAAAGAUAACCGUAAAAUCCACAUAUUUAAAAGUCUUAUAACUUUUUAUUUUUGUCCCCACUGGCCUCCAAGUUUUCUAGGAUGAUGCAAUGUCCAGCCAUCAACACAUUUGUGAAGGAAUUUUUACUCGCCAAAAGAGCGCCCCCCAUGGCAGGAGAAAAAAGUCCAUUUUUUCUUGUCCACUAAGGUGAAAAUACACAUUGUUGAGUGCUACGCCUGUAUGUUUUGUCGUAUUGACACAAAAUUUUACAUACACGUGUAUUUCAAUAAGAUCUUCGAAAAAGUCAAUGGCCACGUAUCUGUAAAAUGUACGGUUAAAGGGUUAUUUCGCAUUUUUUGCAGAUUCGCACACAUUGGAAUUUCGCUAAUUCCUCCGAAGGCUUUCGUUCCACCGGCACCACAUUUGCUCAGGCCAAUCUACACCCCAUGGCCAUUAAAAGCUAUUCAAAUCAUGACGCUGCACCCCACGGUUUAGGUUCUAGGGGGCGCCAAAUAUAACGCUAAAAUCCACAUAUUUAAAAGUCUUAUAACUUUUUAUUUUUGUCCUCACUGGCCUCCAUGUUUUCUAGGAUGAUGCAAUGUCCAGCCAUCAACACAUUUGUGAAGGAGUUUUUUCUCUUUAAAAGAGCGCCCCCCCAUGGCAGGAGAAUAAAGUCAAGUUUUUCCUGUUCAUCAUUCAAUGGCUCAAACGCACUGCUCUCUCGGCAAAAGCAAAAGGAGGAGCAACUUGCCAUUUGGAUAUAUCUUAGCUGUGUUUGUGCCCUCACUCAUGGUCCAGACUUUUUUCAAAUAGGACAUGGAGUUUUUCUGCAGCGAGCGUUUUGGUAGAAACUGCGCCUCCCGUUCAUUAUAAUGGUAAAUGACCACAAACAAGUGCGCACACCAUCUUUGGACCUUGAGUGUGACGCGAUCGGGUGGGGGAGGCGGUCGCGCUGGGGGCGGCGUGACACGGCUCGGGCCCGCCAGUGCCCCAACGGGGCCCUAGUUAUUAUUUUUCCUCCCCUUUGAACUGGAAAAUGGCCCACUUCCCACUGGCGAAAACUCAUGAAAUUUGGCAGGACGACCGGGCCUGGUGAAAAAUUUGAUAUUCCGAAGUCGCCCAAACAAGAAAAUGCAAAAUGGCUCCAUAGCGCCCCCUAAGGUGAAAAUUCACACUAUUGACUGUCACGCGUGUACGCUUUGUCAAAAUGACACAAAAAUUGACACACAUAUGUAUCUCAAUAAGAUCUACAAAAAAGUCAGUGCGGGCGUAUCUGUCAAAUGUACGGUUAAAGGGUUAUUUCGCAUUUUUUGCCGAUCCGCACACAUUGGAAUUUCGCUAACUCCUCCGAAGGCUUUCGUUCCACCGGCACCACAUUUGCUCAGGCCAAUCUACACCCCAUGGCCAUUAAAAGUUAUUCAAAUCAUGACGCUGCACCCCACGGUUUAGGUUCUAGGGGGCGCCAAAGAUAACCCUAAGAUCCACAUAUUUAAAAGUCUUAUAACUUUUUAUUUUUGUCCUCACUGGCCUCCAAGUUUUCUAGGAUGAUGCAAUGUCCAGCCAUCAACACAUUUGUGAAGGAAUUUUUACUCCCCAAAAGAGCGCCCCCCCAUGGCAGGAGAAAAAAGUCCAUUUUUUCUUGUCCCCUAAGGUGAAAAUACACAUUGUUGAGUGUCACGCCUGUACGCUUUGGCAAAAUGACACAAAAAUUGACACACACAUGUAUCUCAAUAAGAUCUACAAAAAAGUCUUACUCGCGUAUCUGUCAAAUGUACGGUUAAAGGGCUAUUUUGCAUUUUUUGCCGAUACGCACACAUUGGAAUUUCGCUAACUCCUCCGAAGGCUGGCAUUCCACCGGCACCACAUUUGCUCAGGCCAAUCUACACCCCAUGGCCAUUAAAAGUUAUUCAAAUCAUGACGCUGCACCCCACGGUUUAGGUUCUAGGGGGCGCCAAAGAUAACCCUAAAAUCCACAUAUUUAAAAGUCUUAUAACUUUUUAUUUUUGUCCUCACUGGCCUCCAAGUUUUCUAGGAUGAUGCAAUGUCCAGCCAUCAACACAUUUGUGAAGGAAUUUUUACUCCCCAAAAGAGCGCCCCCCAUGGCAGGAGAAAAAAGUCCAUUUUUUCUUGUCCCAUAAGGUGAAAAAACACAUUGUUGACUGUCAUACCUGUACGCUUUGUCAUAUUGACACAAAAUUUGACAAUCACAUGUAUCUCAAUAAGAUCUACGAAAAAGUCAAUGCGCGCGUAUCUGUAAAAUGUACGGUUAAAGGGCUAUUUUGCAUUUUUUACCGAUUCGCACACAUUGGAAUGUGGCUAACUCCUCCUAAGGCUUUCGUCCCACUGACACCAAAUUUGCUCAUGCCAAUCUACACCCCAUGGCCAUUCAAAGUUGUAAAAAUCAUGACGCUGCACCCCACGGUUUACGUUCUAGGAGGCGCCAAAGAUGACCCAAAUAUCCACAUUCUUAAAAGAAUCCACAUCCCCCCCCAUCCCCCAUCCCCCAUGGCAGGAGAAACAGUCAAGUUUUUCCUGCCCAUCACUCAAUGGCUCAAUCGCAUCACUCUCCCGGCAACACCGUAACGAGGAGCAACUUGCCGUUUGGAUAUAUCCUAGCUGUGUUUGUGCCCUCACUCAUGGUCCAGACUUUUUUCAAAUAGGACUUGUAGUUUGUCUGCAGCGAGUGUUUUGGUAGAAACUGCGCCUCCCAUUCAUUAUAAUGGGAAAUGACCACAGACAAGUGCGCACACCAUCUUUGGACCUUAUGUGUGACGCGAUCGGGAGGGGGAGGUGGUCGCGCUGGGGGCGGCGCAACGCGGCUCGGGCCCGACAGUGCCCCACCGGGGUCCUAGUUUCUUCUUUUUCCUCCCCUUUGAACUGGAAAAUGGCCCACUUCCCACUGGCGAAAACUCAUGAAAUUUGGCAGGACGACCGGGCCUGGUGAAAAAUUUGAUAUUCCGAAGUCGCCCAAACAAGAAAAUGCAAAAUGGCUCCAUAGCGCCCCCUAAGGUGAAAAUUCACACUAUUGACUGUCACGCCUGUACGCUUUGUCAAAAUGACACAAAAAUUGACACACACAUGUAUCUCAAUAAGAUCUACAAAAAAGUCAGUGCGGGCGUAUCUGUCAAAUGUACGGUUAAAGGGUUAUUUCGCAUUUUUUGCCGAUCCGCACACAUUGGAAUUUCGCUAACUCCUCCGAAGGCUUUCGUUCCACCGGCACCACAUUUGCUCAGGCCAAUCUACACCCCAUGGCCAUUAAAAGUUAUUCAAAUCAUGACGCUGCACCCCACUGUUUAGGUUCUAGGGGGCGCCAAAGAUAACCCUAAGAUCCACAUAUUUAAAAGUCUUAUAACUUUUUAUUUUUGCCCUCACUGGCCUCCAAGUUUUCUAGGAUGAUGCAAUGUCCAGCCAUCAACACAUUUGUGAAGGAAUUUUUACUCCCCAAAAGAGCGCCCCCCCAUGGCAGGAGAAAAAAGUCCAUUUUUUCUUGUCCCCUAAGGUGAAAAUACACAUUGUUGAGUGUCACGCCUAUACGCUUUGUCAAAAUGACACAAAAAUUGACACACACAUGUAACUCAAUAAGAUCUACAAAAAAGUCCAUGCGCGCGUAUCUGUCAAAUGUACAGUUAAAGGGUUAUUCCGCAUUUUUUGCCGAUACGCACACAUUGGAAUUUCGCUAACUCCUCCGAAGGCUUUCUGUCUACCGGCACCACAUUUGCUCAGGCCAAUCUACACCCCAUGGCCAUUAAAAGUUAUUCAAAUCAUGAUGCUGCACCCCAUGGUUUAGGUUCUAGGGGGCGCCAAAGAUAACCCAAAAAUCCACAUUCUUAAAUGUUUUAUAACUUUUUAUUUUUGUCCUCACUGGCCUCCAAGUUUUCUAGGAUGAUGCAAUGUCCAGCCAUCAACACAUUUGUGAAGGAAUUUUUACUCCCCAAAAGAGCGCCUCCCCAUGGUAGGAGAAAAAAGUCAAUUUUUUCUUGUCCCCUUACAUAAAAAUACACAUUGUUGAGUGUCACGCCUGAACGCUUUGUCAUAUUGACACAAAAAUUGACAAUCAUGUGUAUCUCAAUUAGAUCUACGAAAAAGUCAAAGAGCGCGUAUCUGUUUAAUGUACGGUUAAAGGGCUAUUUUGCAUUUUUUGCCGAUUCGCACACAUUGGAAUGUGGCUAUCUCCUCCUAAGGCUUUCGUCCCACCGAUACCAAAUUUGCUCAGGGCAAUCUACACCCCAUGCCCAUUCAAAGUUGUAAAAAUCAUGACGCUGCACCCCACGGUUUACGUUCUAGGGGGCGCCAAAGAUGACCCAAAAAUCCACAUUCUUAAAAGUCAUUUUGGCCACUGCAGGAGUACAGAGUACUGCAGUUCUAGGGGGCGCCAAAGAUGACCCAAAAAUCCACAUUCUUAAAAGUCUUUUUGGCCACUGCAGGAGUACAGAGUACUGCAGGAUACACACACAUAUACACACACGCCAACAUACACACACACACACACACACACACACACACACACACACACAGACACACACACACACUCAGAGUCUGUUUUUUAGCACCUGCAAAAACAUGCUGUUUACAUAUUUGACAAGAAUGCAGAGGCUUCCUUUUGCCCCUGAAAAAAAUCAAAUUUCAAACACAACUUGACUGUUCAUUUCUCCAAAAGACAACCAUGAAGCUCCAUUUCAAACCUGAAGCAGAUAGUUGGUGCAUGUGUACAGUAACCUGAGGGGAGUGAGGUGACUAUUUCUGAGGAGAACAUGAGCAGUGAAGAUUCACCUUGGAGCUAGAACAGGGACGUGCACAUGAUUAUACAGGGGCAGGGGCUCAAGUUUUUUCCAGUCAUUUAUACAAUAUGGAAAUUAAUGUGAAAUUAAACCACAAAUAUGUGUGAUGAACUGUUUUUAAAACUUAAACUUCAAAUAAAAAUUGUAAACUUCAAAACAUAUGCAAAUUUUUAACAAAGAACAUAGUAAUUUACCUCUAUUUACAUCAAAAUGCAGGCAAUGGCCCAGGCGUUCUUUGUAAAAUUAUUUACAAAACACUGUAUAGUCUCACAAAUGUCACUUUUUAUUUAUGCCACUACAAAAAAACAUGAUGUAAAUGAUGCAUGAUGUAAAACAUGAUGUAAAAAACUUGUGUAGAUCCUCCUCUAUGUCAGUCCAUGUGUAAUUUUUCCAUAAUUCUUUGUUUUUUGCAGCAUUUUUGUUAGUGUAACUGCAGAUUGUGCUGACAGUGUCUAUGGCACAAAAAAAAAAAAAAUUAAAAUGCCUCAACAUGAACCCCUGGUGGUCUCUGAGGGUGAAACCUGCUAACUGCUGCAGCUCUGUCAGCUUCAGUCUCCCAUGCAGAGCUCUGAGCGCAUGUGUGGCUCUGCACCCUUAGCAGCGUUGCUAACUCCUCAGUAAGGAAAGCCUGCUUCAUGUCAGAGUCUCUAAACUCCAGAAGAAGUCGAUAAAAGUCCCUUUCUUUCUAAAAAAAAGUCGUUAGGGUGUCUGAAAAGUCAUUGAAUCUAACAACAAAGUCGCUAGGUUUGCAACUACGUGUCCCAGACUGCAUCCCUGCUGAGAGUCCCUCCCUCCCUUCUCAUGUUGCAGGAAGAACGUAAGCGCCCGCCCCUUGUCAAUCAGUCACCAUAUAAUUUUGGAUUGGUUGUUGUGGUGAAGUUUUCCACCAAUAGGAGAGAUGUUGUGGUGUGUUUUUUUUUUCUUUUGGCAAGCCUUUUCCGCCUGUAAGACCUGUCGCUAAUGUCUGCAUGCUAUGUUUUCCUGUCUCAUACAGCGCGAUCGAGCGCCGAACGUGAUCAAAAUAAGCAGAAAAAAAGUAUCGCGGACAUAAUUUAUCAUAACUCUGGUUUUAUUUGGCCUAUCAACACAAUUUAAAAACUGGUAUAUAGGUUGAGGUCCUCACUUUUGAGAUAAGUUGAAACGGAGAGUCAACGAGGCUCCGUCUUGCAGCUACAUCCGGUUAAAUAUGUCAUGUGACUUGAACGCACACAUAGACACACACACACACACACACACACACACACACACACACACACACACACACACACACACACACUCAGAGUCUGGUUUUUAGCACCUGCAAAAACAUGCUAUUUACAUAUUUGACAAGAAUGCAGAGGCUCCUUUUGCCCCUGAAAAAAAUCAAAUUUCAAACACAACUUGACUGGUCAUUUCUCCAAAAGACAACCAUGAAGCUCCAUCCAAACCUGAAGCAGGCAGUUGGUGCAUGUGUACAGUAACCUGAGGGGAGUGAGGUGAGUGCUUCUGAGGAGAACAUGAGCAGUGAAGAUUCACCUUGGAGCUAGAACAGAGACAUGCACAUGAUUAUACAGGGGCAGGGGCUCAAGUUUUUUCCAGUCGUUUAUACAAUAUGGAAAUUAAUGUGAAAUUAAAACACAAAGUAUUAAUAGAAAGGUAAUGACUGUCCUGUGUAGGUGACAGUGAUAUCCAAUAGGCUAGGCACUCACGAGGCUGGCUGUGGCAAGUGUAAGUGAAAGCAACACGCACUGGCAGGAAGAACAGCAAACGCCGAUGAAGGAAAAGGGUCUUUGCAGUGAUGGCCGUUAACAGAGAGGGCGAUGGCCAGAGGACACAAAUGGGACGGGGAGGCAGCACGUUGGGGGGGGGAGACACGACACGGCUCGGGCCCGCCAGUGCCCCAACGGGGUCCUAGUUCUUUAGGGCACGAGCGUAGCUGCUAAGCAGCUGCGAGAGCCCUCUUGUUCCUGCAUGUUUCCUUCUUUCGUUAUUAUUUUUCCUCCGCUUUAAACUGGAAAAUGGCCCACUUCCCACUGGCGAAAACUCAGGAAAUUUGGCAGGACGACCGGGCCUGGUGAAAAAUUCGAUAUUCUGAAGUCGCCCAAACAAUAAAAUGCAAAAUGGCUCCAUAGCGCCCCCUAAGGUGAAAAUUCACAUGACGGCUGUACGCUUUGUCAUAUUGACACAAAAAUUGACACACACGUGUAUCUCAAUAAGAUCUACAAAAAAGUCAGUGUGGGCGUAUCUGUCAAAUGUACGGUUAAUGGGUUAUUUUUCAUUUUUUGCAGAUCUGCACACAUUGGAAUUUCGCUAACUCCUCCGAAGGCUUUCGUUCGACCGGCACCACAUUUGCGCAGGCCAAUCUACACCCCAUGGCCAUUAAAAGUUGUACAAAUCAUGACGCUGCACCCCACGGUUUAUGUUCUAGGGGGCGCCAAAGAUAACCCAAAAAUCCACAUUCUUAAAAGUGUUAUAACGUUUUACUUUUGUCCUCACUGGCCUCCAAGUUUUCUAGGAUGAUGCAAUGUCCAGCCAUCAACACAUUUGUGAAGGAAUUUUUACUCCCCAAAAGAGCGCCCCCCAAUGGCAGGAGAAAAAGGUCCAUUUUUUCUUGUCUCCAAAGGUCAAAAUACACAUUGUCGAGUGUCACGCCUGUAUGCUUUGUCAUAUUGACACAAAAUUUGACAAUCACGUGUAUCUCAAUAAGAUCUACGAAAAAGUCAAAGGGCAUGUAUCUGUCAAAUGUACGGUUAAAGGGCUAUUUUGCAUUUUUUGCUGAUCCGCACACAUUGGAAUUUCACUAACUCCUCCGAAGGCUAUCUUUCCACCGGCACCAAAUUUGCUCAGGCCAAUCUACACCCCAUGGCCAUUAAAAGUUGUACAAAUCAUCUUGCUGCACCCCACGGUUUGGGUUCUAGGGGGCACCAAAUAUAACCCAAAAAUCCACAUUCUUAAAAGUGUUAUAACUUUUUAUUUUUUUCCAUACUGGCCUCCAAGUUUUUUAGGAUGAUGCAAUGUCCAGCCAUCAACACAUUUGUGAAGAAAUUUUUACUCCCCAAAAGAGCGCCCCCCCAUGGCAGGAGAAAAAAGUCCAUUUUUUCUUAUCCCGAAAGGUGAAAAUACACGUUGUUGAGUGUCACGCCUUUACGCUUUGUCAUAUUGACAAAAAAAUUGACAAUCAUGUGUAUCUCAAUUAGAUCUACGAAAAAGUCAAAGAGCGCGUAUCUGUAUAAUGUACGGUUAAAGGGCUAUUUUGCAUUUUUUGCCGAUUCGCACACAUUGGAAUGUGGCUAUCUCCUCCUAAGGCUUUCGUCCCACCGAUACCAAAUUUGCUCAGGGCAAUCUACACCCCAUGCCCAUUCAAAGUUGUAAAAAUCAUGACGCUGCACCCCACGGUUUACGUUCUAGGGGGCGCCAAAGAUGACCCAAAAAUCCACAUUCUUAAAAGUCAUUUUGGCCACUGCAGGAGUACAGAGUACUGCAGUUCUAGGGGGCGCCAAAGAUGACCCAAAAAUCCACAUUCUUAAAAGUCUUUUUGGCCACUGCAGGAGUACAGAGUACUGCAGGAUACACACACAUAUACACACACGCCAACAUACACACACACACACACACACACACACACACACACACACACACACACACACACACACACACACUCAGAGUCUGUUUUUAAGCACCUGCAAAAACAUGCUGUUUACAUAUUUGACAAGAAUGCAGAGGCUUCCUUUUGCCCCUGAAAAAAAUCAAAUUUCAAACACAACUUGACUGUUCAUUUCUCCAAAAGACAACCAUGAAGCUCCAUUUCAAACCUGAAGCAGAUAGUUGGUGCAUGUGUACAGUAACCUGAGGAGAGUGAGGUGACUAUUUCUGAGGAGAACAUAAGCAGUGAAGAUUCACCUUGGAGCUAGAACAGGGACGUGCACAUGAUUAUACAGGGGCAGGGGCUCAAGUUUUUUCCAGUCAUUUAUACAAUAUGGAAAUUAAUGUGAAAUUAAACCACAAAUAUGUGUGAUGAACUGUUUUUAAAACUUAAACUUCAAAUAAAAAUUGUAAACUUCAAAACAUAUGCAAAUUUUUAACAAAGAACAUAGUAAUUUACCUCUAUUUACAUCAAAAUGCAGGCAAUGGCCCAGGCGUUCUUUGUAAAAUUAUUUACAAAACACUGUAUAGUCUCACAAAUGUCACUUUUUAUUUAUGCCACUACAAAAAAACAUGAUGUAAAUGAUGCAUGAUGUAAAACAUGAUGUAAAAAACUUGUGUAGAUCCUCCUCUAUGUUAGUCCAUGUGUAAUUUUUCCAUAAUUCUUUGUUUUUUGCAGCAUUUUUGUUAGUGUAACUGCAGAUUGUGCUGACAGUGUCUAUGGCAAAAAAAAAAAAAAAACUGAAAAUGCCUCAACAUGAACCCCUGGUGGUCUCUGAGGGUGAAACCUGCUAACUGCUGCAGCUCUGUCAGCUUUAGUCUCCCAUGCAGAGCUCGGAGCGCAUGUGUGGCUCUGCACCCUUAGCAGCGUUGCUAACUCCUCAGUAAGGAAAGCCUGCUUCAUGUCAGAGUCUCUAAACUCCAGAAGAAGUCGAUAAAAGUCCCUUUCUUUCUAAAAAAAAGUCGUUAGGGGGUCUGAAAAGUCAUUGAAUCUAACAACAAAGUCGCUAGGUUUGCAACUACGUGUCCCAGACUGCAUCCCUGCUGAGAGUUCCUCCCUCCCUUCUCAUGUUGCAGGAAGAACGUAAGCGCCCGCCCCUUGUCAAUCAGUCACCAUAUAAUUUUGGAUUGGUUGUUGUGGUGAAGUUUUCCACCAAUAGGAGAGAUGUUGUGGUGUGUUUUUCUUUUUCUUUGGCAAGCCUUUUCCGCCUGCAAGACCUGUCGCUAAUGUCUGCAUGCUAUGUUUUCCUGUCUCAUACAGCGCGAUCGAGCGCCGAACGUGAUCAAAAUAAGCAGAAAAAAAGUAUCGCGGACAUAAUUUAUCAUAACUCUGGUUUUAUUUGGCCUAUCAACACAAUUUGCAAACUGGCGUAUAGUUUGAGGUCCUCACUUUUGAGAUAAGUUGAAACGGAGAGUCAACGAGGCUCCGUCUUGCUGCUACAUCCGGUUAAAUAUGUAAUGUGACUUGAACGCUGGGGAGCGUCAAUCGACUGCAGAGCCAGCAGACAAAGUAGUUGUGGCCACUGAAAGGCACAUAUUUGUCAUAUGCUAUAAUCCUAACAUAUUUUAAUGCUUUUUCUAUUUAAACCUAAUGGAUCUAAGCUUUGACCUUCAAAAUUUAGGAAGAAUAUGUUUUUGCAGUAAUGACCCCGUUAAACAACCAGAGGUCCUUUCCUAAAGUUUAUGGAAAUUUUAGUGAAGGCCUUGGUUUCUUUCCUUGCAAAAUGUAUAGAAAUAAUAAAGCUAAAUUCCAUAAAAAGGUCUUGGCGUAUUAGCAGUGAUAUAAAAUAGUGGUUUGAAUAUGAAUGAACAACAACAAAAAAAAAACAUCAACAGAGCCUUUUUGAGUUGGGAUUCUUUCAUUAUCACACAAAAACAGACAUAGACAGACAUCUAAAGGGUAAGGGAAUGAUCAGCCCUCCUAACUCUCAGAUGAAUCUUCAAAAUUCACCUCAGAAAUAUGCUUAUUAUUCUUCUCAGAGUACUGCAGGAUAUACACACACACACUCAGAGUCUUUUUUUUAGCACCUGCAAAAACAUGCUAUUUACAUAUUUGACUAGAAUGCAGAGGCCCCUUUUUGCCCCUGAAAAAAAUCUAAUUUCAAACACAACUUGACUGCUCAUUUCUCCAAAAGACAACCAUGAAGCUCCAUCCAAACCUGAAGCAGGCAGUUGGUGCAUGUGUACAGUCACCUGAGGAAAGUGAGGUGACUACUUCUGAGGAGAACAUGAGCAGUGAAGAUUCACCUUGGAGCUAGAACAGGGACGUGCACAUGAUUAUACAGGGGCAGGGGCUCAAGUUUUUUCCAGUCAUUUAUACAAUAUUGAAAUUAAUGUGAAAUUAAAAAACAAGUAUUAAUAGAAAGGUUAUGACUGUCCUGUGUAGAUGACAGUGAUAUCCAAUAGGCUAGGCACUCACGAGGCUGGCUGUGGCAAGUGUAAGUGAAAGCAACACGCACUGGCAGGAAGAACAGCAAACGCCGAUGAAGGAAAGAGUCUUUGCAGUGAUGGGCGUUACCAGAGAGGGCGAUGGCCAGAGGACGCGAAUGGGACGGGGAGGCAGCGCGUUGGGGGGGGCAGCGCGACACGGCUCGGGCCCGCCAGUGCCCCAACGGGGCCCUAGUCUUCUUCUUCUUCUUAUUAGGGCCCGAGCGUAGCUGCUAAGCAGCUGCGAGAGCCCUAUUAUUCCUGAUGGAUUCUUCUUUCUUCUUCUUAUUAUUAUUUUUCUGCCCCUUUGAACUGGAAAAUGGCCCACUUCCCACUGGUGAAAACUCAUGAAAUUUGGCAGGACGACCGGGCCUGGUGAAAAAUUCGAUAUUCUGAAGUCGCCCAAACAAUCAAAUGCAAAAUGGCUCCAUAGCGCCCCCUAAGGUGAAAAAUUCACAUGAUUGAGUGUCACACCUGUACGCUUUGUCAAAAUGACACAAAAUUUGACACACACGUGUAUCUCAAUAAGAUCUACAAAAAAGUCAGCGCGGGCGUAUCUGUCAAAUGUACGGUUAAAGGGCUAUUUCGCAUUUUUUGCCGAUCCGCACACAGUGGAAUUUCGCUAACUCCUCCGAAGGCUUUCGUUCCACCGACACCACAUUUGCUCAGGCCAAUCUACACCCCAUGGCCAUUAAAAGUUGUACAAAUCAUGACGCUGCACCCCACGGUUUACGUUCUAGGGGGCGCCAAAGAUAACCCAAAAAUCCACAUUCUUAAAAGUCUAAUAACUUUUUAUUUUUGCCCUCACUGGCCUCCAAGUUUUCUAGGAUGAUGCAAUGACCAGCCAUCAACACAUUUGUGAAGGAAUUUUUACUCGCCAAAAGAGCGCCCCCCCAUGGCAGGAGAAAAAAGUCCAUUUUUUCUUGUCCCCUAAGGUGAAAAUACAUAUUGUUGAGUGUCACGCCUAUACGCUUUGUCAUAUUGACAUAAAAUUUGACACACACGUGUAUCUCAAUAAGAUCUACAAAAAAGUCUGCGCGCACGUAUCUGUCAAAUGUACGGUUAAAGGGCUAUUUAGGGCCCGAGCGUAGCUGCUAAGCAGCUGCGAGAGCCCUAUUAUUCCUGAUGGAUUCUUCUUUCUUCUUCUUCUUCUUAUUAUUUUUCUGCCCCUUUGAACUGGAAAAUGGCCCACUUCCCACUGGUGAAAAGUCAUGAAAUUUGGCAGGACGACCGGGCCUGGUGAAAAAUUCGAUAUUCUGAAGUCGCCCAAAAAAUCAAAUGCAAAAUGGCUCCAUAGCGCCCCCUAAGGUGAAAAAUUCACAUGAUUGAGUGUCACGCCUGUACGCUUUGUCAAAAUGACACAAAAUUUGACACACACGUGUAUCUCAAUAAGAUCUACAAAAAAGUCAGUGCGGGCGUAUCUGUCAAAUGUACGGUUAAAGGGCUAUUUCGCAUUUUUUGCCGAUCCGCACACAUUGGAAUUUCGCUAACUCCUCCUAAGGCUUUCGUUCCACCGGCACCAAAUUUGCUCAGGCCAAUCUACACCCCAUGGCCAUUAAAAGUUGUACAAAUCAUGACGCUGCAUCCCACGGUUUACGUUCUAGGGGGCGCCAAAGAUAACCCAGAAAUCCACAUUCUUAAAAGUCGUAUAACUUUUUAUUUUUGUCCUCACUGGCCUCCAAGUUUUCUAGGAUGAUGCAAUGUCCAGCCAUCAACACAUUUGUGAAGGAAUUUUUACUCCCCAAAAGAGCGCCCCCCCAUGGCAGGAGAAAAAAGUCCAUUUUUUCUUGUCUCCUAAGGCGAAAAUUCACACUAUUGACUGUCACGCCUUUACGCUUUGUCAUAUUGACACAAAAAUUGACACACACAUGUAUCUCAAUAAGAUCUACAAAAAAGUCAGUGCGGGCGUAUCUGUCAAAUGUACGGUGAAAGGGCUAUUUCGCAUUUUUUGCCGAUCCGCACACAUUGGAAUUUCGCUAACUCCUCCGAAGGCUUUCGUUCCAAAGGCACCACAUUUGCUCAGGUCAAUCUACACCCCAUGGCCAUUCAAAGUUGUACAACUCAUGACGCUGCACCCCACAGUUUACGUUCUAGGGGGCGCCAAAGAGGACCCAAAUAUCCACAUUUUUAAAAGUCUUAUAACUUUUUAUUUUUGUCCUCACUGGCCUCCAAGUUUUCUAGGAUGAUGCAAUGUCCAGCCAUCAACACAUUUGUGAAGGAAUUUUUUCUCCCCAAAAGAGCGCCCCCCAUGGCAGGAGAAAAAGUCAAGUUUUUCCUGCCCAUCGCUCAAUGGCUCAAACGCAUCGCUCUCUCUGCAAAACCGAAAGGAGGAGCAACUUGCCAUUUGGAUAUAUACUAGCUGUGUUUGUGCCCUCACUCAUGGUCCAGACUUUUUUCAAAUAGGACAUGUAGUUUGUCUGCAGCGAGCGUUUUGGUAGAAACUGCGCCUCCCAUUCGUUAUAAUGGGAAAUGACCACAGACAAGUGCGCACACCAUCUUUGGACCUUGAGUGUGACGCGAUCGGGAGGGGGAGGCGGUCGCGCUGGGGGCGGCGCGACGCGGCUCGGGCCCGACAGUGCCCCACCGGGGCCCUAGUUAGGGCCCGAGCGUAGCUGCUAAGCAGCUGCGAGAGCCCUAUUAUUCCUGAUGGAUUCUUCUUUCUUCUUCUUCUUCUUAUUAUUUUUCUGCCCCUUUGAACUGGAAAAUGGCCCACUUCCCACUGGUGAAAAGUCAUGAAAUUUGGCAGGACGACCGGGCCUGGUGAAAAAUUCGAUAUUCUGAAGUCGCCCAAACAAUCAAAUGCAAAAUGGCUCCAUAGCGCCCCCUAAGGUGAAAAAUUCACAUGAUUGAGUGUCACGCCUGUACGCUUUGUCAAAAUGACACAAAAUUUGACACACACGUGUAUCUCAAUAAGAUCUACAAAAAAGUCAGUGCGGGCGUAUCUGUCAAAUGUACGGUUAAAGGGCUAUUUCGCAUUUUUUGCCGAUCCGCACACAUUGGAAUUUCGCUAACUCCUCCGAAGGCUUUCGUUCCACCGGCACCAAAUUUGCUCAGGCCAAUCUACACCCCAUGGCCAUUAAAAGUUGUACAAAUCGUGACGCUGCAUCCCACGGUUUACGUUCUAGGGGGCGCCAAAGAUAACCCAGAAAUCCACAUUCUUAAAAGUCGUAUAACUUUUUAUUUUUGUCCUCACUGGCCUCCAAGUUUUCUAGGAUGAUGCAAUGUCCAGCCAUCAACACAUUUUUGAAGGAAUUUUUACUCCCCAAAAGAGCGCCCCCCCAUGGCAGGAGAAAAAAGUCCAUUUUUUCUUGUCUCCUAAGGCGAAAAUUCACACUAUUGACUGUCACGCCUUUACGCUUUGUCAUAUUGACACAAAAAUUGACACACACAUGUAUCUCAAUAAGAUCUACAAAAAAGUCAGUGCGGGCGUAUCUGUCAAAUGUACGGUGAAAGGGCUAUUUCGCAUUUUUUGCCGAUCCGCACACAUUGGAAUUUCGCUAACUCCUCCGAAGGCUUUCGUUCCAAAGGCACCACAUUUGCUGAGGCCAAUCUACACCCCAUGGCCAUUAAAAGUUGUACAAAUCAUGACGCUGCACCCCACGGUUUACGUUCUAGGGGGCGCCAAAGAUAACCCAAAAAUCCACAGUCUUAAAAGUCUUAUAACUUUUUAUUUUUGUCCUCACUGGCCUCCAAGUUCUCUAGGAUGAUGCAAUGUCCAGCCAUCAACACAUUUGUGAAGGAAUUUUUACUCGCCAAAAGAGCGCCCCCCCAUGGCAGGAGAAAAAAGUCCAUUUUUUCUUGUCUCCUAAGGCGAAAAUACACAUUGUUGACUGUCACGCCUUUACGCUUUGUCAAAAUGACACAAAAUUUGACACACACAUGUAUCUCAAUAAGAUCUACAAAAAAGUCAGUGCGGGCGUAUCUGUCAAAUGUACGGUUAAAGGGUUAUUUCGCAUUUUUUGCCGAUCCGCACACAUUGGAAUUUCGCUAACUCCUCCUAAAUCUUUUGUCCCAUCGGCUUCAAAUUUGCUCAGGUCAAUCUACACCCCAUGGCCAUUCAAAGUUGUACAAAUCAUGACGCUGCACCCCACAGUUUACGUUCUAGGGGGCGCCAAAGAGGACCCAAAUAUCCACAUUUUUAAAAGUCUUAUAACUUUUUAUUUUUGUCCUCACUGGCCUCCAAGUUUUCUAGGAUGAUGCAAUGUCCAGCCAUCAACACAUUUGUGAAGGAAUUUUUUCUCCCCAAAAGAGCGCCCCCCCAUGGCAGGAGAAAAAGUCAAGUUUUUCCUGCCCAUCGCUCAAUGGCUCAAACGCAUCGCUCUCUCUGCAAAACCGAAAGGAGGAGCAACUUGCCAUUUGGAUAUAUACUAGCUGUGUUUGUGCCCUCACUCAUGGUCCAGACUUUUUUCAAAUAGGACAUGUAGUUUGUCUGCAGCGAGCGUUUUGGUAGAAACUGCGCCUCCCAUUCAUUAUAAUGGGAAAUGACCACAGACAAGUGCGCACACCAUCUUUGGACCUUGAGUGUGACGCGAUCGGGAAGGGGAGGCGGUCGCGCUGGGGGCGGCGCGACGCGGCUCGGGCCCGACAGUGCCCCACCGGGGCCCUAGUUAUUUUUCUGCCCCUUUGAACUGGAAAAUGGCCCACUUCCCACUGGUGAAAAGUCAUGAAAUUUGGCAGGACGACCGGGCCUGGUGAAAAAUUCGAUAUUCUGAAGUCGCCCAAAAAAUCAAAUGCAAAAUGGCUCCAUAGCGCCCCCUAAGGUGAAAAAUUCACAUGAUUGAGUGUCACGCCUGUACGCUUUGUCAAAAUGACACAAAAUUUGACACACACGUGUAUCUCAAUAAGAUCUACAAAAAAGUCAGUGCGGGCGUAUCUCUCAAAUGUACGGUUAAAGGGCUAUUUCGCAUUUUUUGCCGAUCCGCACACAUUGGAAUUUCGCUAACUCCUCCGAAGGCUUUCGUUCCACCGGCACCAAAUUUGCUCAGGCCAAUCUACACCCCAUGGCCAUUAAAAGUUGUACAAAUCAUGAUGCUGCAUCCCACGGUUUACGUUCUAGGGGGCGCCAAAGAUAACCCAGAAAUCCACAUUCUUAAAAGUCGUAUAACUUUUUAUUUUUGUCCUCACUGGCCUCCAAGUUUUCUAGGAUGAUGCAAUGUCUAGCCAUCAACACAUUUGUGAAGGAAUUUUUACUCCCCAAAAGAGCGCCCCCCCAUGGCAGGAGAAAAAAGUCCAGUUUUUCUUCCCCCCUAAGGUGAAAAUUCACAUUAUUGAGUGUCACGCCUGUACGCUUUGUCAUAUUGAAACAAACUUUGACAAUCACGUGUUUCUCAAUAAGAUCUACGAAAUAGUCAAUGGGCGCGUAUCUGUAAAAUGUACGGUUAAAGGGCUAUUUCGCAUUUUUGGUCGAUUCGCACACAUUGGAAUGUGGCUAACUCCUCCUAAAGCUUUCGUUCCACUGACACCAAAUUUACUCAGGCCAAUCUACACCCCAUGGCCAUUCAAAGUUGUAAAAAUCAUGACGCUGCACCCCACGGUUUAUGUUCUAGGGGGCGCCAAAGAUAACCCAAAAAUCCACAUUCUUAAAAGUCUUAUAACUUUUUAUUUUUGUCCUCACUGGCCUCCAAGUUUUCUAGGAUGAUGCAAUGUCUAGCCAUCAACACAUUUGUGAAGGAAUUUUUACUCCCUAAAAGAGCGCCCCCCCAUGGCAGGAGAAAAAGUCAAGUUUUUCCUGCCCAUCGCUCAAUGACUCAAACACAUCGCUCUCUCGGCAAAACCGAAAGGAGGAGCAACUUGCCAUUUGGAUAUAUCCUAGCUGUGUUUGUGCCCUCACUCAUGGUCCAGUCCUUUUCAAAUAGGACAUGUAGUUUGUCUGCGGCGAGCGUUUUGGUAGAAACUGCGCCUCCCAUUCAUUAUAAUUGUAAAUGACCACAGACAAGUGCGCACACCAUCUUUGGACCUUGAGUGUGACGCGAUCGGUAGGGAGAGGCGGUCAUGUUGGGGGCGGCGCGACACGGCUCGGGCCCGCCAGUGCCCCAACGGGGCCCUAGUUAGGGCCCGAGCGUAGCUGCUAAGCAGCUGCGAGAGCCCUCUUGUUCCUGUAGUUUCCUUCUUUUGUUAUUAUUAUUUAGGGCCCGAGCGUAGCUGCUAAGCAGCUGCGAGAGCCCUAUUAUUCCCCAAGUGGUUUUUCUUUGUUUCUUUUUUCUUUUUCCUCCCCUUUGAACUGGAAAAUGGCCCACUUCCCACUGGCGAAAACUCAUGAAAUUUGGCAGGACGACCGGGCCUGGUGAAAAAUUUGAUAUUCCGAAGUCGCCCAAACAAGAAAAUGCAAAAUGGCUCCAUAGCGCCCCCUAAGGUGAAAAUUCACACUAUUGACUGUCACGCCUGUACGCUUUGUCAAAAUGACACAAAAAUUGACACACACAUGUAUCUCAAUAAGAUCUACAAAAAAGUCAGUGCGGGCGUAUCUGUCAAAUGUACGGUUAAAGGGCUAUUUCGCAUUUUUUGCCGAUCCACACACAUUGGAAUUUCGCUAACUCCUCCGAAGGCUUUCGUUCCACCGGCACCACAUUUGCUCAGGCCAAUCUACACCCCAUGGCCAUUAAAAGUUAUUCAAAUCAUGACGCUGCACCCCACGGUUUAGGUUCUAGGGGGCGCCAAAGAUAACCCUAAAAUCCACAUAUUUAAAAGUCUUAUAACUUUUUAUUUUUGCCCUCACUGGCCUCCAAGUUUUCUAGGAUGAUGCAAUGUCCAGCCAUCAACACAUUUGUGAAGGAAUUUUUACUCGCCAAAAGAGCGCCCCCCCAUGGCAGGAGAAAAAAGUCCAUUUUUUCUUGUCCCCUAAGGUGAAAAUACACAUUGUUGAGUGUCACGCCUGUACGCUUUGUCAAAAUGACACAAAAAUUGACACACACAUGUAUCUCAAUAAGAUCUACAAAAAAGUCCAUGCGCGCGUAUCUGUCAAAUGUACGGUUAAAGGGUUAUUCCGCAUUUUUUGCCGAUCCGCACACAUUGGAAUUUCGCUAACUCCUCCGAAGGCUUUCGUUCCACCAGCACCACAUUUGCUCAGGCCAAUCUACCCCCCAUGGCCAUUAAAAGUUAUUCAAAUCAUGACGCUGCACCCCACGGUUUACGUUCUAGGGGGCGCCAAAGAUAACCCAAAAAUCCACAUUUUUAAAAGUCUUAUAACUUUUUAUUUUUGUCCUCACUGGCCUCCAAGUUUUCUAGGAUGAUGCAAUGUCCAGCCAUCAACACAUUUGUGAAGGAAUUUUUACUCCCCAAAAGAGCGCCCCCCCAUGGCAGGAGAAAAAAGUCCAUUUUUUCUUGUCCCCUAAGGUGAAAAUACACAUUGUUGACUGUCACGCCUGUACGCUUUGGCAAAAUGACACAAAAAUUGACAAUCAUGUGUAUCUCAAUUAGAUCUACGAAAAAGUCAAAGAGCGCGUAUCUGUAUAAUGUACGGUAAAAGGGCUAUUUUGCAUUUUUUGCCGAUUCGCACACAUUGGAAUUUCGCUAACUCCUCCUAAGGCUUUCGUCCCACUGACACCAAAUUUGCUCAGGCCAAUCUACACUCCAUGGCCAUUCGAAGUUGUAAAAAUCAUGACGCUGCACCCCACGGUUUACGUUUUAGGGGGCGCCAAAGAUGACCCAAAUAUACAUUACAGUAGACAAAGUAGUUUUGCCCACUGAGUGGCGCCAAAGGGACUUGUCUGUGGAGUCUGUGAGUCACUAUUGGCCGUUUUUGACUACUUUAGAUUUUACCUUUAUAUUUCCUCUUACAAAAUUUUUACCUUGCCUUGCCUGGUAUCAUUUUUUUCAGCACAACCUCACCUGUGUCAAUUUACAGUUAUUUUAUCAUUUUGACAUACUAUAUUUACACAUUGGACCCAAAUUCACACACAAAACAUAAAAUCCGAGUGGAAAAAAGUAACGUUUUUACUGUGAAAACCACAAAUAUGUGUGAUGAACUGUUUUUAAAACUUAAACUUCAAAUAAAAAUUGUAAACUUCAAAACAUAUGCAAAUUUUUAACAAAGAACAUAGUAAUUUACCUCUAUUGACAUCAAAAUGCAGGCCAUGGCCCAGGUGUUCUUUGUAAAAUUAUUUACAAAACACUGUAUAGUCUCACAAAUGUCACUUUUUAUUUAUGCCACUACAAAAAAACAUGAUGUAAAUGAUGCAUGAUGUAAAACAUGAUGUAAAAAACUUGUGUAGAUCCUCCUCUAUGUUAGUCCAUGUGUAAUUUUUCCAUAAUUCUUUGUUUUUUGCAGCAUUUUUGUUAGUGUAACUGCAGAUUGUGCUGACAGUGUCUAUGGCAAAAAAAAAAAAAAAAAACUGAAAAUGCCUCAACAUGAACCCCUGGUGGUCUCUGAGGGUGAAACCUGCUAACUGCUGCAGCUCUGUCAGCUUCAGUCUCCCAUGCAGAGCUCUGAGCGCAUGUGUGGCUCUGCACCCUUAGCAGCGUUGCUAACUCCUCAGUAAGGAAAGCCUGCUUCAUGUCAGAGUCUCUAAACUCCAGAAGAAGUCGAUAAAAGUCCCUUUCUUUCUAAAAAAAAGUUGUUAGGGGGUCUGAAAAGUCAUUGAAUCUAACAACAAAGUCGCUAGGUUUGCAACUACGUGUCCCAGACUGCAUCCCUGCUGAGAGUCCCUCCCUCCCUUCUCAUAUUGCAGGAAGAACGUAAGUUCCCGCCCCUUGUCAAUCAGUCACCAUAUAAUUUUGGAUUGGUUGUUGUGGUGAAGUUUUCCACCAAUAGGAGAGAUGUUGUGGUGUGUUUUUUUUUUCCUUUGGCAAGCCUUUUCCGCCUGUAAGACCUGUCGCUAAUGUCUGCAUGCUAUGUUUUCCUGUCUCAUACAGCGCGAUCGAGCGCCGAACGUGAUCAAAAUAAGCAGAAAAAAAGUAUCGCGGACAUAAUUUAUCAUAACUCUGGUUUUAUUUGGCCUAUCAACACAAUUUAAAAACUGGUAUAUAGGUUGAGGUCCUCACUUUUGAGAUAAAUUGAAACGGAGAGUCAACGAGGCUCCGUCUUGCAGCUACAUCCGGUUAAAUAUGUCAUGUGACUUGAACGCACACACACACACACACACACACACACACACACACAGACACACACACACACACACACACACACACACACUCAGAGUCUGGUUUUUAGCACCUGCAAAAACAUGCUAUUUACAUAUUUGACAAGAAUGCAGAGGGUCCUUUUGCCCCUGAAAAAAAUCAAAUUUCAAACACAACUUUACUGCUCAUUUCUCCAAAAGACAACCAUGAAGCUCCAUCCAAACCUGAAGCAGGCAGUUGGUGCAUGUGUACAGUAACCUGAGGGGAGUGAGGUGACUGCUUCUGAGGAGAACAUGAGCAGUGAAGAUUCACCUUAGAGCUAGAACAAAGACGUGCACAUGAUUAUACAGGGGCAGGGGCUCAAGUUUUUUCCAGUUGUUUAUACAAUAUGGAAAUUAAUGUGAAAUUAAAAAACAAAGUAUUAAUAGAAAGGUAAUGACUGUCCUGUGUAGGUGACAGUGAUAUCCAAUAGGCUAGGCACUCACGAGGCUGGCUGUGGCAAGUGUAAGUGAAAGCAACACGCACUGGCAGGAAGAACAGCAAACGCCGAUGAAGGAAAAGGGUCUUUGCAGAGAUGGGCGUUACCAGAGAGGUCGAUGGCCAGAGGACACAAAUGGGACGGGGAGGCAGCGCGUUGGGGGGGGGACGCGACACAGCUCGGGCCCGCCAGUGCCCCAACGGGGUCCUAGUAUUAUUUUUCCUCCCCUUUGAACUGGAAAAUGGCCCACUUCCCACUGGCGAAAACUCAUGAAAUUUGGCAGGACGACCGGGCCUGGUGAAAAAUUUGAUAUUCCGAAGUCGCCCAAACAAGAAAAUGCAAAAUGGCUCCAUAGCGCCCCCUAAGGUGAAAAUUCACACUAUUGACUGUCACGCCUGUACGCUUUGUCAAAAUGACACAAAAAUUGACACACACAUGUAUCUCAAUAAGAUCUACAAAAAAGUCAGUGCGGGCGUAUCUGUCAAAUGUACGGUUAAAGGGUUAUUUCGCAUUUUUUGCCGAUCCGCACACAUUGGAAUUUCGCUAACUCCUCCGAAGGCUUUCGUUCCACCGGCACCACAUUUGCUCAGGCCAAUCUACACCCCAUGGCCAUUAAAAGUUAUUCAAAUCAUGACGCUGCACCCCACGGUUUAGGUUCUAGGGGGCGCCAAAGAUAACCGUAAAAUCCACAUAUUUAAAAGUCUUAUAACUUUUUAUUUUUGUCCCCACUGGCCUCCAAGUUUUCUAGGAUGAUGCAAUGUCCAGCCAUCAACACAUUUGUGAAGGAAUUUUUACUCGCCAAAAGAGCGCCCCCCCAUGGCAGGAGAAAAAAGUCCAUUUUUUCUUGUCCACUAAGGUGAAAAUACACAUUGUUGAGUGCUACGCCUGUAUGUUUUGUCGUAUUGACACAAAAUUUUACAUACACGUGUAUUUACAUAAGAUCUUCGAAAAAGUCAAUGGCCACGUAUCUGUAAAAUGUACGGUUAAAGGGUUAUUUCGCAUUUUUUGCCGAUCCGCACACAUUGGAAUUUCGCUAACUCCUCCGAAGGCUUUCGUUCCACCGGCACCACAUUUGCUCAGGCCAAUCUACACCCCAUGGCCAUUAAAAGUUAUUCAAAUCAUGACGCUGCACCCCAAGGUUUAGGUUCUAGGGGGCGCCAAAGAUAACCCUAAGAUCCACAUAUUUAAAAGUCUUAUAACUUUUUAUUUUUGCCCUCACUGGCCUCCAAGUUUUCUAGGAUGAUGCAAUGUCCAGCCAUCAACACAUUUGUGAAGGAAUUUUUACUCCCCAAAAGAGCGCCCCCCCAUGGCAGGAGAAAAAAGUCAAUUUUUUCUUGUCCCCUAAGGUGAAAAUACACAUUGUUGAGUGUAACACCUGUACGCUUUGGCAAAAUGACACAAAAAUUGACACACACAUGUAUCUCAAUAAGAUCUACGAAAAAGUCAAUGCGCGCGUAUCUGUCAAAUGUACGGUUAAAGGGUUAUUCCGCAUUUUUUGCCGAUCCGCACACAUUGGAAUUUCGCUAACUCCUCCGAAGGCUUUCGUUCCACCGGCACCACAUUUGCUCAGGCCAAUCUACACCCCAUGGCCAUUAAAAGUUAUUCAAAUCAUGACGCUGCAUCCCACGGUUUAGGUUCUAGGGGGCGCCAAAGAUAACCCUAAAAUCCACAUAUUUAAAAGUCUUAUAACUUUUUAUUUUUGUCCUCACUGGCCUCCAAGUUUUCUAGGAUGAUGCAAUGUCCAGCCAUCAACACAUUUGUGAAGGAAUUUUUACUCCCCAAAAGAGCGCCCCCCAUGGCAGGAGAAAAAAGUCCAUUUUUUCUUGUCCCCUAAGGUGGAAAUUCACACUAUUGACUGUCACGCCUGUACGCUUUAUCAUAUUGACACAAAAAUUGACACACAUAUGUAUCUCAAUAAGAUCUACAAAAAAGUCAAUUCGCGCGUAUCUGUCAAAUGUACGGUUAAAGGGCUAUUUUGCAUUUUUUGCCGAUUCGCACACAUUGGAAUGUGGCUAACUCCUCCUAAGGCUUUCGUCCCACUGACACCAAAUUUGCUCAGGCCAAUCUACACCCCAUGGCCAUUCAAAGUUGUAAAAAUCAUGACGCUGCACCCCACGGUUUACGUUCUAGGGGGCGCCAAAGAUGACCCAAAAAUCCACAUUCUUAAAAGAAUCCACAUCCCCCCCUAUGGCAGGAGAAAAAGUCAAGUUUUUCCUGCCCAUCGCUCAAUGGCUCAAUCGCAUCGCUCUCCAGGCAACACCGUAAGGAGGAGCAACCUGGCAUUUCGAUAUAUCAUAGCUGUGUUUGUGCCCUCACUCAUGGUCCAGACUUUUUUCAAAUAGGACAUGAAGUUUGUCUGCAGCGAGUGUUUUGGUAGAAACUGCGCCUCCCAUUCAUUAUAAUGGGAAAUGACCACAGACAAGUGCGCACACCAUCUUUGGUUCUUGAGUGUGACUCGAUCGGGACGGGGAGGCGGUCGCACUGGGGGCGGCGCGACGCGGCUCGGGCCCGACAGUGCCCCACCGGGGCCCUAGUUUGUUAUUAGGGCCCGAGCGUAGCUGCUAAGCAGCUGCGAGAGCCCUCUUGUUCCUGAUGGAUUCUUCUUUCGUUAUUUUUCCUCCGCUUUAAACUGGAAAAUGGCCCACUUCCCACUGGCGAAAACUCAGGAAAUUUGGCAGGACGACCGGGCCUGGUGAAAAAUUCGAUAUUCUGAAGUCGCCCAAACAAAAAAAUGAAAAAUGGCUCCAUAGCGCCCCCUAUGGUGAAAACUCACCUGACGCCUGUACGCUUUGUCAAAAUGACACAAAAUUUGACACACAUGUGUAUCUCAAUAAGAUCUAAAAAAAAGUCAGUGCGGGCGUAUCUGUCAAAUGUACGGUUAAAGGGCUAUUUCGCAUUUUUUGCCGAUCCGCACACAUUGGAAUUUCGCUAACUCCUCCGAAGGCUUUCGUUCCACCGGCAACAAAUUUGCUCAGGACAAUCUACACCCCAUGGCCAUUCAAAGUUGUACAAAUCAUGACGCUGCACCCCACGGUUUACAUUCUAGGGGGCGCCAAAGAUAACCCAAAAAUCCACAGUCUUAAAAGUCUUAUAACUUUUUAUUUUUGUCCUCACUGGCCUCCAAGUUUUCUAGGAUGAUGCAAUGUCCAGCCAUCAACACAUUUGUGAAGAAAUUUUUACUCCCCAAAAGAGCGCCCCCCCAUGGCAGGAGAAAAAAGUCCAUUUUUUCUUGUCCCCUAAGGUGAAAAUACACAUUGUUGAGUGUCAUGCCUGAACGCUUUGUCAUAUUGACACAAAAUUUGACACACACGUGUAUCUCAAUAAG